AUUGAACGCUGGCGGCAUGCCUUACACAUGCAAGUCGAACGGCAGCACGGGAGCAAUCCUGGCGGCGAGUGGCGAACGGGUGAGUAAUAUAUCGGAACGUGCCCAGUCGUGGGGGAUAACGCAGCGAAAGCUGUGCUAAUACCGCAUACGAUCUAAGGAUGAAAGCGGGGGAUCGCAAGACCUCGCGCGAUUGGAGCGGCGGAUAUCAGAUUAGCUAGUUGGUGGGGUAAAGGCCCACCAAGGCGACGAUCUGUAGCUGGUCUGAGAGGACGACCAGCCACACUGGAACUGAGACACGGUCCAGACUCCUACGGGAGGCAGCAGUGGGGAAUUUUGGACAAUGGGCGCAAGCCUGAUCCAGCAAUGCCGCGUGCAGGAUGAAGGCCUUCGGGUUGUAAACUGCUUUUGUACGGAACGAAACGGCCCUUUCUAAUACAGGGGGCUAAUGACGGUACCGUAAGAAUAAGCACCGGUUAACUACGUGCCAGCCGCCGCGGUAA
rnacentral:rRNA from 1 species